GACGAACGCUGGCGGCGUGCUUAACACAUGCAAGUCGUACGGUAAGGCCCUUUCCGUGGUACACGAGUGGCGAACGGGUGAGUAACACGUGAGUAACGUGCCCACAACUUUGGGAUAACGCUAGGAAACUGGUGCUAAUACUGGAUAUGUGCUCCUUCUGCAUGGUGGGGGUUGGAAAGCUCCGGCGGGUUUUGAUGGACUCGCGGCCUAUCGGCUUGUUGGUGCGGUAGUUGCCUACCAAGGCGGCGAGGGGAAGCCGGCCUGAGAGGGUGACCGGCCACAUUGGGACUGAGAUACGGCCCAGACAGCUACGGGAGGCAGCAGUGGGGAAUAUUGCAGAAUGGGCGCCAGCCUGAUGCAGAAGCGCCGCGUGCGGGAUGACGGCCUUAGGGUUGUAAACCGCUUUCAGCAGGGACGAAGCUUUUUGUGACGGUACCUGCAGAAGAAGCACCGGCUAACUACGUG
rnacentral:rRNA from 1 species